rnacentral:lncRNA from 1 species
AUGGAAGGGAUAUUAUUACACAUCGAUGGAUAUUACGUCAGUGGAUAUUGCGAAGAAUAAGUUACGUCACCCUGUUCGAUGAUACAUACAACCAAUUGCAGAUAUACACGCCAGGUGUCCGACAUCGAGACCUGUCACAUAUCGACCAGGCCAUUGUGACAUAUGCGGUCCGUUUUGGGCAUGGCCUGCACAUGGCCAGCCGCCCCAGGAACAACAGCCAUGUUUGGGUAGCGGCAGCCCAUGUACCAAACGUGUUACGGGUCGAUGAAUAUCGGCAUGUAUACUGUAAACGGUCGUUCCUGGCAAUGGGAUCCGUAUACGAUAUCCCAAUUACCGAUCUGCAGGACGAGAUCCCACCCGCUGUCGUAAUAGGCCAACGAUGUAACAGCUGUCAACCGUCGAUGUGUAUUUUGUAACCUCUGCUCAUACAAACACUUUGUAUGUGAAGAGGAGAAAGAAAAUAUUCCAGUUUGAGCUAUAUGCAAGUCUAUUGUUGUAUUGUAUUAUAUUUCUAGCUAUCUGGUUAACUGUUGUAUGCUGUUGGGCAAAGCAUAAUGUAUUAUAUUAUAUUUUUGUAUUAUAUUCUAUUUGCAGACUAUUGGUUAACUUUUGUAUUCAUAUAAUCAUUUGUAUAUUGAACAAUAAAUUAUAUUCUGAC